rnacentral:rRNA from 1 species
UUGAAAGGGAAACGAUUGAAGUCAGUCGUACCUGCGGACAAUCAGCUUUUUGAGUGUGAUUAUGUGGAUUGUGAGGAGUUUAAUCACCCUCAUGUUUUACGUAUUCGUGCUCUUGGGUGUACUUGCCCGUGUGGUAGGUUAACAUCAAUUUUGGUCGUCAUAAAAUGACUGGAGGAAUGUAGCUUUGGUCUCGUAUCGAAGUGUUAUAGACUCUGGUAGAUGUGACGAUUGGGAUUGAGGAUUGCAACGGAUACCCUUCGGGGCUACUCGUCUGAUCUCUGAAGGUUGCUCCGGUGCCGAAAGCGUGCUUACGGUCAUCGAAAGUGAUUUUCAAAAGGUUAGAACGGGUUAAAUUCGUUAAGGAUGUUGACGUAAAUCACUAG